CAGUCGCCGCGGUAAUACGGAGGGUGCAAGCGUUAAUCGGAAUUACUGGGCGUAAAGCGUGCGUAGGUGGUGGUUUAAGUCCGUUGUGAAAGCCCUGGGCUCAACCUGGGAAUUGCAGUGGAUACUGGGUCACUAGAGUGUGGUAGAGGAUAGUGGAAUUUCCGGUGUAGCAGUGAAAUGCGUAGAGAUCGGAAGGAACAUCUGUGGCGAAGGCGACUAUCUGGGCCAACACUGACACUGAGGCACGAAAGCGUGGGGAGCAAACAGGAUUAGAUACCCCCGUAGUCCCUGUCUCUUAUAC
rnacentral:rRNA from 1 species